CACGGAUUUCUCUGGUGUUUCAUCGUUUGCUUCCCCCUUCCCUUCUCAGUGCUGUUUUAAUCUGUUGAUUUUAUUAUAUAUAUAUAUAUAUAUAUAGUAUACUAUAUACUUCCUCCCCCCCACCACCCCCUUCCCCUGCGGAUGGCAGUAAUUGGAGAAGCUUUAAUUGUCCCCCCCCCCCCCCCCGGGCCCCUCCUAGAUCCUGCGCGGUCUCAGGGCCCCGUUCUCGUCUCUGCUCUCCGCGGCGCUGGCCGCUCCCUGCUUUCCCUCCGCGGGUUCCCGCUGCCCCCGCACCCUGGCUCUGCCGCUCUCUGCGGUGCCGCCGUCGGCUGGACAAAGCCGGGCUGAGCCACGCGUCUCGGAAUAAACGAAGUGGAGGCUGUCAAGCCCGCAGCGUCAGAAACUUAUUUACUUGGAGGUUGUGAAGAACUCGCUCCAAAUUUCCUCGAGCGAUCCUCGGCCCCCUCCAGCCUCCCGUCGAUGUGACCGCCCCCCCGGAGGGGCUUCUCGGGCCGUUCCCACCCGCUCCCCCGCCGCCUUUCCCGCUAAUGAGCGUGUGUGUUGACACGGAGAGGCGAUGCCCCCGUUUGCCUUUGUUUAGGAGGUGUGAAAGGGAAUCUGCAUAAGAAAAGCCGGCGGCAACCGCGGAGCUCCGAAUAGCAGCGGCGGGACGGAGCGAGCCGGCGACAGAUCCCAGCCAAAGCUGGCACUGCUGCUCGGUCUCCCCGCAUGACAGAGGAUCUGGAGGAGAGGGGAGAAAAAUGUUGGUGUGCUCCUUGCUGGGAGGCACUGAAGAGAACAGACCUUCAGGCUCAUCUGUCCAGGGUGGAAGCUGUGCGCGAUGUCUGUCCUUGCUGGAGAAAAGGCGCUGCUGGGGUCCCCUCUGAGGUUCUUUGUUCCUCGCACAGAGCUCUCAGACUGCAGGGGCUGUCCUGUGCCCCCCAGCUAUGUGCCCUGAGCCAGGGUUGCCUCUUCCAGAUCAGACCCAGGCUUAUCAGAGAGCAGAGGCAGAGCAGGAAAAGGGCCUUCUGUGCUGCUCCCUGGGCUCCAAGGGUUGCUGUUUAUCUUCCUUGAGGGCAACUGUUCCACAUGGCUCUCAGAAGCGUAACAUUGUGACCCCCCCACUUCCCCCCCCAUAUUCUUGCUGCCUCCUGCCUCCCCCUCACCCCAACCUCUUCUCUUUUUCACCCCACCUUCCCCCAGGGGCCUCCAGCCAGUGCAAAUGGUCCCUUGGCAGCAAUGAUGAAGAUGGAUGUCUGAUUGAUUCUCUCUCCUCUGUGCAACCCCCUCUCCAGCCCCCUUUCCCUCUCUCUUCCCUGCCCCCCCCCCCCUCUUUCCAUGCCCUUCUGGCAGAAAAUUAAAAGGCUAUUUGUUAAAGGGUGAAAGCCCUCAGGUGCAGCCCCCGGCUGGACAAUUUGUCUCCAUGAAAAGGAUGCUAUUAUGAGAGCGGCUGGAUCCAGGAGGAGGGGGAGAAUUUGCCAGGAGAGACGGGAGCAGCGGGGAGGGGGUAGGAGGCAUCUCCGAGGGACAAUGCAGUGGUGGGGCUUAUUGCUGGGGCUGGCCAUCCGCAGGGCUGGAUGCUGCUCAGUGGGGACAGCCAUGUGCCAGAGGGAACAAGGCUAGUGGUGAGCAGAAGUGCCCCUCUACCAAUGCUGCUCCAGCAGCGGCUCCGCUAACCCUCAAGUCAAAGGAGAUGGAGGGUUGGGCACAGCGAGGGCUGACAGCACAGCACAGGGAGCUGUGCUGAGCUUGGACAGCCCUGCAGAUCCCCAUCCCCUUCUCUGGAGUCUUCUUGUUCAGUGAAUGCAUCAGCCAAGCACAGCUAUUUCAUGGUGCAGUUCAUCUCAGUGUGUAUCUGUCCACAAUUCCACCCACCACUCUUCGUCCUUCUCCUGCCUCUGUCAUCAAGCACCCAUUUGUCUGUCCUCUUAAUUCGCUUGUGUCUCGGACUGUAGGUUUUAAUAUGAGCACACCUUUGAGGACCCACAAUCCUUAACCAAUGAGGAAAACCCCCAAGGAGCUGGUGGAGACUUCAGCCCUUCCUUCUCCAAAACAUAUCUUCACAAAUCAGAACUGGCCAAUUAAAUACCACUGCUAUGAGGAAACUACUGUGGGAGUGAGAUAUGCUCAGAGGUUGGCUCCAAACUGGGAGAUGCUGAACACCACUGAGAUGGGAGAGACCAGGGCAGGAUUGAGACCCUUGGCUCACUGUUGACCUCUGCCAUCAGCAAAGAAGAAAAAUGAGGGAAGCAAACGGGCACUUGCCUUGGCAACAAGAAGAAAAGCACUUGUGACACUCCUGUCUGGGGGAGAAGUGACUCUGCUGGAGCAUUUCACAGAAUCAGUCACAGAAUCGGAGAACUGUAGGGGUUGGAAGGGGCCCCAAGAGACUGUUUUAUACAACUGCUAAAGCAGGUUUCCUACAAUAAUCCACACUGGGUGCCACCUUACAGUUGCUGGAUAGGAGGCUGAUGGUGAUGCUGGUGAGAUGCCAGUCCUCCACCUCAUCGCAAAGCUGAUCUGGAAACUAGUGGAGUUUUGGUUUUCAGCCUUGCGGUACACAAAGUGGGACCUGAAGGGAGGGCACCUCUGCAGAGGCUCUUGCUGAAGGUCAGCUGGUGAGCCUCCAAGAAACAGGACAGAAUUCUGGGUACCAAGGCAUGGAGAGCAUGCAAGAAUAGGAGAGAUGGGAUGUGGAGGGAAGAUGCAGGUCCUAUCAAGGGCGUGUAUAGGGGGCACCGUGCCCUGUCCAAAUGCCCUACAUACACCUCUCUGGCUUGACCAGGCAGGGUCCCUCUCUGGAGGCUUGUGCUCCGACCUCCUUGAGCCCCAGGUGUAGACAGGGCUCAAAAAGUGUCUUUGAGUUACCUGCAUGUUGCUCACCUGCGGGGUACAGCCCCGUAGCACUUCUGAUUUGGAAUGCAAUUCUCAUGCUGAAGGCAGGAACGUAGGGAAGAAGGAGGAGAGAACAGGGUGGCCAGUUGCUGACCUACUUCUGAAGGAGCUGAUAAACCACCACUGCAUUUCCCUGCCUUGCAAUGGCUGCAGUGCUCCAGACAGAAAUGUUGUCAUACCCCUGCAGGUAUGCUCUCCCAGUAGCUCCUAAACCCAGCUAAAAUAGAUCACGCUGCAAGAUUUAAUGACUCAGCAUUUCUGCUGCUGCUGAUUUACUGACUGAUGCUCAAUUUUUUAUCAGCAGAAGAACUGCUUGGCCAUCAGGAUUGGCAAGUGGCUGUGAAGGGAAUUAAAUAACAAUAUUUUGGGGAUGCAAAGAUGGAUAGGUUGGGUGCAGCAGCACAGCCAUCCAGGCAGUGAAGUAAAGGCCAAGAUAGGAACUAAAAUAAGGAGGGAGUCUCCACCUGCUUCUGCAGUCUGCCAACACUAACACAUGUGCCCAUGUUUUCUGUUAAUUAAUUCUGUUAAUUCUCUUAAUAAUAUUUUAAAUUUCUCCUUGCCAGAAUCACCUGUUUGACUGGGGGAUGCAAGUGAUGUGUCAGUCACGUAUGAUGUUUGUAUGAUGGGUAACCACAUCCUUACACAAGCAGUGCAGAGCAAAACCAUUCCAGAGGGAUGUGCAGAGGAGGGAUGAGCAUCACCAUCCCCAGGUGAUGACGAGGAUGAUGCUGAGCCUGGAGAACUUGAGAGCAGCAGGAGAUACUGCUGGGGGAGGCACAAAUGUGCUGAGAGGAGGCUUUGCAGAGGGGCUGUGAGCAGCUGAAAGACACACAAGCAGAGGGAACAGCCAGAAAGAGCCCAGGCACAGCUGGAACUGCAGCUCCCUCUGACCUGGCCCAGGUGAGAAGAGCUCGAAUGGGCUGGGGGACAAAAUGAGGGAAAAAAACAAGAGAAUAAAAUGGCACAUGUCCAAAAACAAGGACACCUCUGGAGAUGGCACAGAGCUGCUCUGUGAUGAUGACUGAAAACUUCAAGGAAUAACAACUGUAAACCAGCGAAGCGCACUGAGGGUGCUGGAAGUGGAACCUAAUUGAGAGACAAAACCGGGAAUGGAUGGGUGGCCCUGCCCAGCACUCUGGGCACUGUGGGGUUCCUGUGUCACAACCCUUCCCCUGCCCUCACUUGCUGGCUCGUCUCACCUUCCUCUGGGCCUUCAAGGCUCUGCUUCAGCAGCAAAGUCCUGUGGGGUGUGGAUACCCCAGUUCUUUGUUCUCGGGACUAGAUUUGGGGGUGAGGCAUGGGGACAGGGGACCUCACUGUCUGAUCACUGUCUGCUCCUCCUGCUGUGGAUGUGGGGAAAACUAAUGAGUUAAUGCUGAUAAAGUGCUUUCAGGUAAUCAGAUAACCGUGUCAUAAAAGUGUUUUGCAGUGAUGAUGGUGUGCUUUGUGGUGAGGAGAAAGUGAUGAUCCCAAAUAAAAUGCCCAUAUUAAGCCACAGAAAAGUACAAAGGUGCCUUCAGACCUGGGGUGAGCUCUGCAUUAGGUGCAAAAAUGCAUUAGAGCCCUGGUCAGGCUCACACCUCUCCUUCCACAGGGCCUCCUCUUGACCCAGCCUUCCCCUCCUGGAACCUUCCUGUGGUGACCAAGAUUAAUUACCUCCCACCCAGCUCUUUGGGCUUCCCCCAUCUGAUAAUGUGUGAAUGAGGCUGACAGGCUCUCGCAGCUUUCCAUCCUGCUUCCCAGCACCACCAAGCUCCAGCAGGACCAUGGCAUCCCCAGCCCCCUUCCUGGGCUUGUCCCUCAACCUGCAGUGCGGAGGGGAAUGCCACGGGGCUACUCCUGCUGGGAUAAGAGGAAUCAGCCCCCAAACCUGAAUGUGCUAAUACAGAUUCAUUCCUGAGCACACUGCAAGCCUUGAUGUUCAAGGCUGCCUUUGUCCAGGGACACUGCAGCUGGGGGACACAUCUCCAGCUGAUGGCGAUUAGAAGGGACACCAGCCUCUCUGUGCUCAGCUGAAAGGCCGUGCUCCCAAGUUGCUCGCUGGAAAUUGGCUGCAAAUUCAGCAGCUGGUGCCAAGUGGUUGUGCCUGCCCAGCCUCUCGGGCAGCUUUUUUUUUCUUGUUCUCUUCCAACAGGAGGGCAGGUGUGCAGGUGGUGACGUCUUGGGCUCUAACCCCAUACUCCUUCCCUAGUUCUGGUGCCUUUUGGGUUUCUUCCCAGGCAGAUUAUUUCUAUUUGCUUUUUCCCUCCACGCCAACAAAGGUUUUCUUUUUCUUCUUUCUCAUCAAAGUGAAUGAACUUGUUUCACCUCAAAGUUAAAAGCAUCAAGAUGAAGUGGUCCAACUUCUCCUGCGUGC
ensembl:lncRNA